GAUGUGUUAGGAAAAUUAAUCCACAGACACCAAAGGUUUAUGUCCAAAAAGGAGACUGAGGCCAUGGGCCAUUCCCCUGGGAUCUCUCAAAUUUUUGGAGGAUGCAGCCUCCUUUUUAUCCCAAUUUUCCUGCCACAUUUCCUUCUCUAUUUCCCCAUUGGCUGAGGUACUUGAGAGGUACAGACUUCCUGGAUGCCUGAUACUUAAGAUUGCCCUCUAAUGUAUAACCCUCCCUUUUAAUUUUUAAUUCUUAUAGAAUUCAUGGGGUUUUUUUUUUCCAUUGCUUCUAUCCAAUUUCAUUUAUCAGCAAACCUACAGUUUGUUUGUAAAGGCAAAUAUAAUUUUUUUCCAUUCAUCAAUCAGUGGAAUCCUUCCUAAUUUUUUUUUUAUCUCCCAGUGCUAGUCUUACCUACCAGCAGACCCACAGCUUGUUUGUAAAGACAAAUCUGACAUUCCUCUUGGAUGGAUGGAUGGAUGGAUGGAUGGAUGGAUGGAUGGAUGGAUGGAUGACACAGCCUCUCCUUAAAAUCUCUGCUUUCCCAACAGUUUUUGUUUGCUCAGCAGGCAAACCCAGGAAAUUUUUCUGGACUUGUGAACUGCACCACGCAAUGUACAAAACUGAAACAGAAGAGCAUGGCAAAUUAAAGCAGAUAGGAUUUAUGAGAGAGCUUUCUAACUAAUUCUCCAUCCUCCAAUUGAUGGAUGCAAGCCAACCCUACAACUGUUACACCUGCCUGGCUCUGGCAAGGUUGUGAUUUGAUUCUCAGACAAAACACUCAGAAUUCCCAUCUCAGGAGAUCUGGAAUUGACCUUUUAAGUACCUGCUGAGGAUGGGGCCAGGCAGCAGUGUGUGGCUGGUGAAUUUAGCUCAGAACCUGUGGGCAUUACUGAACCUGGAGGCAGAAGAGACCCGAGGGACAGCUGUGCAGGAUUCACAUUGCUGCUCCUCAAAAAUGCACACCUGGAGCUGCACACACCUGUGGGAAAGACCCAGCCAAGGCAACAGUCACAGUGCUCAGGAAACAGAACUUUGUAAUGUCUGCAGGCAGCCUGAAGAGAGAGGAUUUGUCCUGAGAAGUCAGUGCCAACAGGACCACUGGUUCUGGGUGUUCCUGGCAAGCAGCAUGACUGACACCACCAAAGAGGGGGCUGCUGGCAGGACAGCAGAUGCAUUACUGCUGGUCCUGGGCUGCACAGGAAUGCAUGAACCAGAUAGAGUCACACUGGCAUCAAACACAGGUAAGAGCUGAGUGGCACAGUGCCCUGUCCCUGCUGAGACUUGCUGAUGUCCUGCUGCAGGGUCCUGGGCUGCUGGAGACAAAUGUGGAUAAACCAACAUCUUCAUUCCCAAGGGGAGACAGUGCAAGACACCAGAUCAUCCUCAGAAGGUCCCCAGUACAACCAGUGGAGCCCUGGAGUACAACCAGCACACAGCCCACACAGAUGAGCCAGGCAUCCAGAGGGAUGUGACACCCCUGAGGUUACAGGGGGUCUCAGAAAUCAGACACCUCAACAAAAAAUGACUUAAAGCAGGAGGAAGUUAGGAGCAUUACAGAAUCUGCUGCAGACAGAUCCCAGCUUCUCUUGUCUGUGUUCCAGCCCCCUGGGAACCAGGUAACAGGACUCCUGCAGGAAUCACCCAAAAUUAUGUGCUUCACUUCAGGUGUCUCUCUGCAAAAAUUAGGAUUAUUUCCUAGAAUGUGGAAGGGAAAAAAGAAAAUAUGAAUAUUUUUCUAGUACUUCUAAGUUUUAAGCAUGUUUCAAAUAACUGGUAUUUCUCAUUAAUAGUACAUUUUUGCACAAUGGAACCAUUUAACUUUAAACAAACCUGCAAGGACUUUUCUGCUGCUAUUUUUUCUUUAAAAUUGUGUCCUGUUG